AGAGUUUGAUCCUGGCUCAGAACGAACGCUGGCGGCGCGCUUAACACAUGCAAGUCGAACGGGGUGCUUGGAGCUGAUCGCUUCGGCGUGACGCACCUUGUUACCUAGUGGCGAACGGGUGAGUAACACGUAGGAAACCUGCCCUUAGGAUUGGGAUACUCCCGAGAAAUCGGGCUCAAUACCGGAUAUGACCCCAGGGUGAAAUGCCCAGGGGUAAAAGCUACGAGCAAUCGUAGUACCUAAGGAGGGGCCUGCGGCCUAUCAGCUUGUUGGUGAGGUAACGGCUCACCAAGGCUAAGACGGGUAGCCGGACUGAGAGGUCGAUCGGCCGCACUGGAACUGAGACACGGUCCAGACUCCUACGGGAGGCAGCAGUGGGGAAUUUUGCGCAAUGGGGGAAACCCUGACGCAGUGACGCCGUGUGAGUGAUGAAGGUUUUCGGAUCGUAAAGCUCUGUCAGAUGGGAAGAAUAAAGGCAGUGAAAAUAUUUCUGCCUGAUGACGUACCAUCAGAGAAGCACCGCUAACU
rnacentral:rRNA from 1 species